UGACUUACCUGGCAGGGGAGAUACCAUGAUCAGCAAGGUGGUUUUCCCAGAGUGAGGCUCAUCCAUUGCACUGCGGGUGUGCUGACCUCUGUGAUUUCCCCAAAUGCGGGAAACUCAACUGCAGAAUUUGUGGUAGUGGGGAACUGCGUUCGCAUAUUCCCCUG
rnacentral:snRNA from 1 species